rnacentral:rRNA from 1 species
GCAGCCGCGGUAAUUCCAGCUCCAAUAGCGUAUAUUAAAGUUGUUGCAGUUAAAAAGCUCGUAGUUGAAUUUCGGGAUCAGUACGUUGGUCGUGCCUUAGGUACGUACUGGUGUUACUGGUUCCUACCUUCUGACGAACCAUCAUGUCAUUCAUUUGGUGUGGCGGGGAAUCAGGACUGUUACUUUGAAAAAAUUAGAGUGUUUAAAGCAGGCUCGCGCUUGAAUACAUUAGCAUGGAAUAAUGAAAUAGGACGUUGAUCCUAUUUUGUUGGUUUCUAGGAUUGACGUAAUGAUUAAUAGGGAUAGUUGGG